UUUACAUUCAGUUUUCUUAUUAAUAACGUGUUUCUAACAUAUUAAUUUGUCGUUACUAGCAAAUCAAGAAACAGUGUAUACAAAUUUUGCGGUGACCUAAUUCGCAGAAUUAAAUCAUUCAGAUUGCUCUAGGGUGACACAUUGUUUUAUUUAACAAAGCAUACAUGCGUCUUCUCUAUGAAAAUCAAAUUUUUUAAAUUUUCGACAUGUUGUUGUAGUGGCUCAAUAUAACAUGGACUUAUAUGUGCAUUGCUGUCUCCCAGUUAGAUGUUAGUGAAAGUUAACCCCUUGUCAACUGAGAUCUGGAAUUAUCAGUAACUUUUCAAAUCCGAGUGUCCGCAAGAAGAACCUGUAGGUCCGCCUGGUACCUCUCCAAAUGAAGUUUCCUGUCAAAGACACAGGAGCUCAGCCGUGGUGUCAGGGUCACAGGUCGGAAGAAGACCGAACAUUUACGCUGCUAACAUUGUCCGUAUUAACUUGAAAUAAAACUAAUCAGGAUUCCA